GCUUAAAACUCAAAGGACUUGGCGGUGCUUUACAUCCCUCUAGAGGAGCCUGUUCUAUAAUCGAUAAACCCCGAUAUACCUCACCAUCUCUUGCUAAUCCAGCCUAUAUACCGCCAUCUUCAGCAAACCCUAAAAAGGAAGAAAAGUAAGCACAAGUAUCCCAACACAAAAAAGUUAGGUCAAGGUGUA
rnacentral:rRNA from 1 species